AGCUAGUUGGUGGGGUAACGGCCCACCAAGGCGACGAUGCGUAGCCGACCUGAGAGGGUGAACGGCCACACUGGAACUGAGACACGGUCCAAACUCCUACGGGAGGCAGCAGUGGGGAAUAUUGCACAAUGGGCGAAAGCCUGAUGCAGCAACGCCGCGUGAGCGAUGAAGGCUUUCGGGUCGUAAAGCUCUGUCCUCAAGGAAGAUAAUGACGGUACUUGAGGAGGAAGCCCCGGCUAACUACGUGCCAGCAGCCGCGGUAAUACGUAGGGGGCUAGCGUUAUCCGGAAUUACUGGGCGUAAAGGGUGCGUAGGUGGUUUCUUAAGUCAGAGGUGAAAGGCUACGGCUCAACCGUAGUAAGCCUUUGAAACUGAGAAACUUGAGUGCAGGAGAGGAGAGUAGAAUUCCUAGUGUAGCGGUGAAAUGCGUAGAUAUUAGGAGGAAUACCAGUUGCGAAGGCGGCUCUCUGGACUGUAACUGACACUGAGGCACGAAAGCGUGGGGAGCAAACAGGAUUAGAUACCCUAGUCCACGCCGUAAACGAUGAGUACUAGGUGUCGGGGGUUACCCCCCUCGGGUGCCGCAGCUAACGCAUUAAGUACUCC
rnacentral:rRNA from 1 species